UGCUGGGAUUAAAGGUGUGUGCCUGGCUUCUAUGGCUUGUGGCUGACUUUGCUUUCUGAAUACUCAGGCAAACUUUAAUAAAUCAUAAAUAAUGUAUCACUAUAUAUACACACCUGUGACUUCAUUGGCUUUCCAUGGCCUUUUGUUAUCACAGCUAUAAACAGACACUGGAGUAUACUUAUAGCAAGGAUGCCAUGCCUUUGUCAUUAGUCUAUGUCUCUAAGUUACUGUUAUUUGCAUGCUUGAGAAUUUUCAUUCUAGACAUCCAUCCAUCCAUCCAUCCAUCCAUCCAUCCAUCCAUUCAUCCAUCCUUCCAAUCCAGUGGUCCCCAAGCACCCUGAGUCGAUACCUCUUCAAAUCAGUUCUCUAGCUUGGCAGCAUGUGGAAUUACCUGGGAAGGACUUACCUAUCAGGUUUCACCCAGCUGCCCAAGUGACCCACUGUUCAGCCCACAUGGAGGAUUGCUAUGUGUUUCACCUGAUGCCUUUAGCUGUGUUAUGGGGUGGUCCUACCUAUAGGCAUCAUCACCCCCAACUCUGCCUUACACUCAUACUGCAGACAACUAAGUGAUUUUCUAUUUCAACAACUUGAGUGAAGAAACCUCUUUUACCCCCUAGCAAAUAGUUUUGCCGCACAGCUAUUUAAGGUUGGAAAGCAGAGACAGGCUUCGGUAGAAGGUGGUCUGUCCCCAUUGGUGGUAGGUGACGUUAGCAACAUGUAGCAGAUAGCACUGACCACACAGAUCACUGGUGGAGACAUACAGCCGAUCAGGGGCUUAUUGACUCAAUAGCAACGCUGCUUUUUCUUUCUCCAUCCCGAUUUGACUAUAGAAUAAGAAGCAGCUGAUAUGGAGAGGGAAGAAAGAAAGCCCAUCAUAUUGCGCCUGAUUUUGUCUUUAAUGUAAUGGGAGCUCUGGGUUCCCCUAAGGGAUAAAAGAGGCCCCCAGGUUAUUCUACCCUCUAUCAGAAAGGCUAUGUAAUAGAAUUUAGGACAAAGGCCCAGUCUCCAGGAGUACCAAUGGACAAUUUGGCUACCCAUCCCAAAACCCCAAUAAAGAGAGGAGUAACCAUGAAAGACAGACAGAGGAUAUUUAAUCAGUGUAUAAUUAGUGAGGCCACACUGGAAAAGGAACAGAUAGAGGGGUUCAGUGACCCUCAGAUUCAUCUUCAGGAGACUGUCGUGAUAGAAUAAGAAUUGGUGCAUUGGGGAAAAGGCAUGCAUGAUUUAGCAGUAUGGUCAAGGCUUGUUGAGUCUGGUUGAUCACUGUCUCAGUUCUAAUUCAAGAAAUCCUCUUGCUCCCCGGUUUGAGAUGGGCAUCUUUUGAAGGGGGAGGAGGGCUGCCCUUCAAGGCUCUGUUGUGCAUGGGAUUCAAGGUGACUUCAUAUUUAGGAUAAUUGUUAGAGGUAUUUAGAUGCCUUCUGGGGAUUCUGAAAUGGGUCAUUAUAAAGAGAUGAACUAUUUUUAUUUAUUUAUAAAAAGUAAUAAGAGGCCUCAGUUACUCUGUGUGCUUUCAACUUUGAAGGGGAACAAGAUGGGUUAUGACCAGCUUCCAUGUAGACACUCCAUGAGCGAAUGACACACCUAUUGCAGAGUGGCUGUCACAGCAAAUUAAAUUAGCUGUCAUCUUUUCACUGUCAUUUGUUAAUGAGUCAUUGAAAAGAAGCAGUAUUCUGAAGAUCCACAACCAUCAUUUGUUUCCUUGGUUCGAAGUUCAAGAAGGGCAGAAGUUCAACACACAUUGUAGGGGUGGCAUGCCUACCUGUUCCUCAGAAACAAAGGAAGCCCGUCCUCUUUGAAGUCUGAAGUUGAGCUCUUAAGGUCGGUGCUUGGAGGAGGAGUGGACUGGGGAGGCCCUAUCAAGAGCAGUUGUAAAGCAAAUAACUAGGGUGGAAUGGGAAUUGCCUAAAGAAUAAUGUAAUGAUGCCUCAGCAAGGAACUGUGGACUCAUGUGUCCUGCGCUAACCGCCUCGCCAGCAAAAACGACACGGGGACACUCCUCAGGAUCCUUCUGCAGUAAAGCUUUAAUGUCUCUUGAGAGGAAGAGCAUCAGCUUACAGAGCGGAAACUCUGAACACCCAAAAACCCCUCCUUAUAUAGGCUGGCAACCAUCACCUCAGACUGUUACUUUUUGACUGGCUGAAGCCCGUCGGACCAUAUGACGCCAGCUGAUCGAACCAUAUGACGUCAGCUGAUCGAACCAUAUGACGUCACGGGAGGGGCGGAGACUAAGGGCUGGAAAGUUACAAAGUUACCUAUUGCGCAUGCACACAGCUUGUAACAGCUCCUAACACUCAUGAGAGUAACUGACUCUGCUCUUUAACUGAAAAAUGAAUUUCUAAUGAGUCUUCAACCUAUUCCAGCAUUCUUGGCAUUUUACAAUGAAGCAGAGAUAUUUUAAGUUUGCCUUUACACUGUGAAUCUCUAAGAGAAAUACUCAUGAGGGAUUUCAGAAUGCGAACGAAAUGAAGGCGGUGGACACAGGCAGAACAGAUGCUAACCUGUGAAGGAAGACAUUGGCUGGAUAUUCAGCACACUCUUAGACACCAAUGGCGAUAGUCAUGAAGCUAAUGUAUCCCGGUAAGACUGCCUGUCUCCCUGACAGCAAGAAGCAGUGUGGUCUGGGCUGAGUAAGAGAGCAGGGCUUACUUGUCUACUUAUUCCUUCAACAACCAUUCGUGGGCUUUAUCAAGUGUUGUGUGCUAUGUUAAACAUGGUUGGGGGAUUCAAUUGUUUUUAUUUGAAUGUCUCCCAUAGGCUCCUGUGUUUGAACACUUAACUACCCAAUGGAAUUGUCUUCAGAGGUUACAGAACCUUUCUGAGGUGGGGCCUACAGAUGUAGGAAUUGGGGUCACUGUGGGGGGGGGUUGUGGCUCACACCCCAGCCUCCGUUUCAGCCCAAGCUCCCUUUGCUUACUACUCCACCAAAAUGGGACCAACUCAUGCUUCAAGCCCUCACCAUCAUGCCUUCCCCGCCAUGGUGAGCUGGACCAUCUCCAACUGUGAGCCCAAAUAAAGCUUGCUUCCUUUAA